rnacentral:rRNA from 1 species
GACGAACGCUGGCGGCGUGCUUAACACAUGCAAGUCGAGCGGUAAGGCCCUUUCGGGGGUACACGAGCGGCGAACGGGUGAGUAACACGUGAGCAACCUGCCCUUCUCUUUGGAAUAAGCGUUGGAAACGACGUCUAAUGCCGAAUAUGACCCCCUGUCGCCUGGUGGGGGGUGGAAAGCUCUGGCGGAGAAGGAUGGGCUCGCGGCCUAUCAGCUUGUUGGUGUGGGUAAUGGCCCACCAAGGCGACGACGGGUAGCCGGCCUGAGAGGGUGACCGGCCACACUGGGACUGAGACACGGCCCAGACUCCUACGGGAGGCAGCAGUGGGGAAUAUUGGACAAUGGGCGAAAGCCUGAUCCAGCAACGCCGCGUGAGGGAUGACGGCCUUCGGGUUGUAAACCUCUUUCAGCAGGGACGAAGCGAGAGUGACGGUACCUGCAGAAGAAGGACCGGCCAACUACGUGCCAGCAGCCGCCGCCG